AGUUAGUGUAUUAUCAGUAGUAUUAUCGCGAUUAUGUUUUGUCAAAUAAAGUGAUUGAGCUAAUACUGCGUGAUAAGACAAAUUCUUAUUUUAAAUUUCUAUUAGACUUUGGAAUCUAGUUAUCUUCUAGUCAUGAGUGAGCGACCGCAACCUCUGAAGGCCAUAAACAGGUUCUUUGAAGGCAAGGAACCAUGGCAGAUUGUCACCAUGACCGCAUCUUCAGUCUUGGCCAUUGUAUGGGCCCACAGCUUGUACAAUGCAAAGGAGAGUGUCACCACAAGACUCCGAAAGCAGUUCUUCCGUUGGCUACGUCAGGUACCAAUAGUCAAGCGGAAGAUAGAUGAGAAGAUGGCGGAGAUCACCAAAGAUUUCAGAAAGGAUAUAAACAAACGACUGGCUGGGGUGACCGUUAGAACAGAGCUACCCGCGAAGGGGCUCGACCCUGAACUAAUCAAGCAAGAAGUUAGGGAUCAUCUUAGUUUGGGUGCAUACGAUUGGCGAAACGGUGCCGUAUCUGGCGCAGUGUACCACCUCUCCGAAGAGAUCAGUAAAGUGGCGUGUGAUACGUACGCUCUCACCGCCUACACUAACCCGCUGCACGCCGACGUGUUCCCCGGGAUCAAUAAAAUGGAGGCUGAGGUGGUCAGGAUGGCCAUUAAUCUGUUCCAUGGAGAUGAGGGAUGCUGUGGGACGGUAACAACAGGAGGUACAGAGUCAAUAAUGAUGGCGUGCAAGGCGUUCAGAGACCUCGCGUACAGCCGCGGCAUCAGCAACCCGCAGAUCGUGGUGCCGUCCACCGUGCAUUCAGCCUUCGACAAAGCCGCGCAGUACCUCGGACUCUCUGUCAAGACCGUGCCGGUCGAUCCGGAGACCUUCACCGUAGACGUCGAGGGCGUGAGGAACGCUAUUGGCCGGAGGACUUGUUUGAUCGUGGGGUCGGCCCCAAACUACCCUUACGGCACGAUGGACGAUAUCGUAGCCCUGUCGGCUAUCGCAGUGGAGUACGGCGUGCCGCUGCAUGUAGACGCGUGUCUUGGAGGCCUGUUAGCAGCCUUCAUGCCCAGCGCUGGGCAUCACGUCCCACUCUUCGACUUUCGCCUGCCUGGAGUUGCGAGUAUAUCCGCUGAUACUCAUAAGUACGGAUACGCUCCCAAAGGAACAUCAGUGAUCCUGUACAGGAAGGAGGAAUAUCGCCACCACCAGUACACCGUGACCACCGAGUGGCCUGGUGGCGUUUAUGGCUCGCCCACUGUUAACGGCAGUAGAGCAGGAGGGCUAAUAGCCGCGUGCUGGGCCACCAUGAUGUUCAUCGGCAAAGAGAGAUACGUGGAGAUGACCGACGAGAUUGUUAAAACUGCCCGAUACAUUGAGGAAGAAUUACGUAAAAUAGAAGGUUUGUUCAUAUUCGGCAAGCCGGCAACGUCGGUGAUAGGUUUCGGCUCAAAGCAAUUCGACAUUUUCAAAAUGGCCGAGCAACUGCACACAAAGGGAUGGAGUUUGAACGCAUUGCAGUUUCCGUCAGGCGUGCACAUAUGUGUGACGCACGCGCACACGGCGGCGGGCGUGGCGCAGCGCUUCGUGUCGGACGCGGCGGCGGCGGCCGCGCACUGCAGGCGGCACGCCGGCGAGCCCGUGCACGGGAAGGUACUGUUAUAGUUAUAUAGUGAUUGUUGUGUCACGUGUCGGCCGCGUGCACAUGUGUGUGACGCGGGCGUGGCGCAGCGCUUCGUGUCGGACGCGGCGGCGGCGGCCGCGCACUGCAGGCGGCACGCCGGCGAGCCCGUGCACGGGAAGAUGGCCAUCUACGGCGUAGCACAAGAAAUCCCUGACAGGAGUCUAGUCUCGGAUAUCACAAAGUAUUUCAUCGAUUCUAUGUACUAUCUGCCUCAGCCUGAAGAUGAAUAGCAUUUUGAAACUUUCCAAAACGUUGACAUCCCCAGUAAUGGACACCGCACGGUAAAUUUACCGCGUUACGUAUUUUUUAUUAUGUUUUUCUUGAACAGCUCGAUUGGUCCUAUUUAAAAGUAUUUUCAGACAGCUAUAAUAAACUUAUUUCGAGUUAGUCAGUCAUGGAGUGUAAAAAAUGAUAGACUGUUCUUUCUACCUUUAGUGAAAUGUUAGUUUUUUUUACAUAUUUAUAUUAAAAUAGUCGUUAGUAUUAAAUUAAGGACUACACAUAUAUCUUUUUUAUACCUAUGGUUACGAAGUAGUGUACCAUCAGUAAAAAAAUCUGUUUUAAAAAAAUAUUAUCUAUAUUUAAAAUAAUUGUAAGAAACUAAAAUAUUGUACCGUUAGUAGGAAAACCCUUUUAAUAAAAAAAUAUAAUUCUUCCCUUUAAAUAAGAACUUUAGCGGUAAGGUACCGUCAGUAGAAAAACCCUUUUAACUAUAGAUAAUCUAUUACGAAAAUCUACGGCAGGUCUAAGAAGGGCAUUUGAAUUAUAUUUUUACAUGUUAAUAAAUAUUAAUGUUAUAUCCAAAUGUUGAUUGUACUUAUAAUAAUGACAAUGUAUAUAAGUAGGAAUUUGAGUAAAAGGCUCUGAAAAUGUUUUUAAUAAUGUUGUACGCUAUAUAAGUACUAUGCUUCUGGAUAGACAAUAAGACAAUACCGAUACUACUUAAAAACAAACUAAUAAAAAUUAUUACAACCACUAUAAAUAAUAUAUAAUAAUAUCAACACUGCUGAGCACGGGCCUCGGGCACCACGCUGGCCUAGUGCGGAUUCGUAGACUUCACACACCUUCGAAAUUCUUAUAGAAAACUUCUCAGAUAAUGCCACACACAAUCCACGAUGAUCGCUUCGAUAUUGCUCGUAGUUCGAUGAUUGCAAACAAGACUAACUCACGACACCUUUUUGUAUCCGGAUUUGAACCACAGACUUUUUUUGAGUGACUUUCCCGCCCUCACACCCACCACUACAACUCCUGUAAGCCAGGAUCAGCAGUGGCACGCAUUUUAUGACACCGAGCGGUGAAGCUCGGCGAGUCUCAGGGAAAACUAAUUUGUCAUUAUCCCGCAACGAAAUUAAUCAAAUAGAAAGUUAGGGAAGAAUUGGAAAUAUUAAUUGUCAACUUAAAAAAGUAAUUGAUGAGAAACAUGUUAACACAAAGAGAACCAUAUACGUUUGUGGAACAUUCUCUAAAGAUCCGGAAUAGUCAAUCUAGUAGAAUUGAUGUUCGUUAUAGUUUCCUCGUCAUUCUGGAAACAUCGAGACCCUUCUAUCGUUGAACCUGGUAGAUCCGCGAGCCGCCACAAAUAGACGAGCAUUUAUGCAGUUUCUGUGUUUAAAAAUAUAUAAAUACAUCACAAUAAUCGAUAUCACAUAACUGUUGCGGGUUUGUUAUAUAGGCACUAUUUCAAUGGUACAUAUUAUAUAAGGUGUUGUUUUACAUUCCCGCCAUAUUGACUGAGGUUGGUAUACUCCACUUAUAGAACACGAAUCAAUGAAAGAAUAAGUACCGAAAAUUAUACUUUAAAAAAAAAAUAUUCUUUAAAAAUAAAACCACCCGUGUAAUGGGAAUCAUCCCGACUCGCCCCGUGUGGCAUCGAUGAUUUUCGUGCCACACAGCACACACACACAAAGUGCUUUGUCGCGCGCCAUGGUCGCCGACGACUACAGACAGCUGGUGCCGUCCGUGUGUGUGAGCUAUCCGCGUUGCCGUGGGUCCUAUUCUGACAUGGACGUGGGGGUUAAUUCUAAAUAAUCGUAAAAUAAUUUAAUCAAAUAUUCGGAUUCCAGUUUGAGGUAGGACUUACAUUGUAUUGUUAGAUGAUUAUGUGUACCCAUCACAAUGGACUCUUUAAACAUGGUGGGGAUGCAAAACAACACCUUGUAUAUUUUAAGGUAGGUGUAUUUAUAAUAAUAUUCAUGUAUGCAUUUAGUAAUUAACAAUUAUUGAACGUAUAAUAGGUACUGGAGUAGUCUAUUAGCUUAAGUAUAUCGAGGAAAUCCAAUAUUAUGAGAAUAUUAAAAUAGGUGCCAAAGGAUGGCUUAGAGGUAGGUUACAUAGACAGGGCGUAAAUCGCAAUAAUUCGUGUAUAAAAUAUUAUAUCUUUUAAGUCAAUGAAUGCAUUAUGUAGUUACUUCACUGUGAAUUUUAUUAACAUUAGAGAAAAGAAAGUAAGGUAUAACUACAAAGCGAUAUGAUUAGCUAUUUUCGUGACAAUAUUGUAAACGCUUCCCGUAUUAGUCAGUUAUUGGCGGCCAUUUUGUUUUUUUAAUCUCUGGCAUUCCUACAAAAAUAAGGCAAGCCUAUGCUUUAUAGAUGUAAAAUAUUUGUAUUUAUGCUUCGUAGUGUUAUAUAGGGUGUUGCUGAAAAAAGGUACCAAUGAUAACUUUAUAUUAAAGCUGGAUGAGUAUAACAUAAUUAUAAAUUUUGAAAAGAGGACAUAUAUAUUAAUAAUAUAAUCUUAUCACACUUUUAUAUAUAUUUCAAUUUUGUUAAAACCCGCCAUAGUGGCUCACGAGUGUCGCGUUUCGGGAUCAGCCUGUGUAUACACAAUUUGAACAGGCCGGCGUAAUUCUGUCGACUGUCGAGGGUUAAUCAUCUCUCGUCAGUCGACAUUCUACUGGCCUCCUCUCCACGUACCAUCAUGUGCAGUGAGGUAACUUUCCCGUACACGUAUGAAAAAAAAAACUUAAAUAAUAAGUUUUUUUUCAUGAUCAGUAAUUUGAGCAACACUUGUAUAUUACAUUAAUGUAUGUUUUUUUAUAUUCGUCUCUAUUUUUUGGUAAUAUAUCAAAAUAGAAAAUAAGCCUAUACUAUAAUGUAUAAAUAUUUAAAGCCGUAAUUCAUAAGGAAUUUCUAUCGUCAUAUGAAGGUUUAUAGAUUUAGUAUUUUGUGCUAGAAAAGAUCAUAAUAUAGUAGAGAUUUUUAUUCCCUAAACAGGACAGCAGAAUGGAAUUCUCUGAAUCUAAUUUAUUGCAGUCUAAGUAAAAUUCUGUCGUGGUAAUCAAGAGCCAUUUUUUUGUACUGAUUUGGAAUGUACGUUAAACGAACUUUCUUCCUACAGGUUUUAUACACCGACGUAUAUUAUAAAUGCAUUUCUUGUAUGAUAAACAGCAGUGAAAACGAUCAGAUAAUCUAGUUAACUACGUUAUAAAGCAAAA